rnacentral:rRNA from 1 species
UACGAAGGUGGCUAGCGUUGUUCGGAAUUACUGGGCGUAAAGCGCGUGUAGGCGGGCCGUUAAGUCGGGGGUGAAAGCCCAGAGCUCAACUCUGGAAUUGCCUUCGAUACUGGCGGCCUGGAGCAUGAUAGAGGCGAGUGGAAUUGCGAGUGUAGAAGUGAAAUUCGUAGAUAUUCGCAGGAACACAAGUGGCGAAGGCGACUCGCUGGAUCAUUGCUGACGCUGAGACGCGAAAGCGUGGGGAGCAAACAGG